ACCGCCUGAACUGAAACAUCUAAGUAGGGCGAGGAAGAGACAUCAAACGAGAUUCCGUAAGUAGUGGCGAGCGAACGCGGAAGAGGGCAAACCGAGAGUAGAAAUACUUUCGGGGUACGGACUGCUUUUAAGACUCAAUCUGUUAACCGAACGGCAUGGGAAGGCCGGUCAGAGAGUGUGAGAACCACGUAGGUGAAAACGGAGAGAGCUGCGCAGGAUCCAGAGUACGGCCAGACACGUGAAACCUGGUCGGAAUACGGGGGGACCACCCUCCAACCCUAAAUACUACCCAGUGACCGAUAGCGUAUAGUACUGUGAAGGAAAGGUGAAAAGCACCCCGGGAGGGGAGUGAAAAAGAACCUGAAACCCUGUGCCUACAAGCACCUAGAGCGCGUCAAAGCGUGAUAGGGUACUUUUUGUAGAACGGUCCGGCGAGCGAUUGUAUGCAGCAAGGUUAAGGACUUAAGGUCUGGAGCCGAAGCGAAAGCGAGUUUGAAAAGGGCGUUAAGUUGCAUAUAAUGGGCCCGAAACCGGGUGACCUACCCAUGGUCAGGUUGAAGUGGAAGUAAAAUUCCAUGGAGGACCGAACCGACCUCCGUUGAAAAGGCGGCGGAUGAACUGUGGGUAGCGGAGAAAUUCCAAUCGAACCCGGAGAUAGCUGGUUCUCCCCGAAAUAGUUUUAGGACUAGCCUCAAGUUAGAUACCUGGAGGUAAAGCACUGAAUAGCCUAGCGGCCGAGAGGUUAGCGAAGCUUAUCAAACUCAGAAUGCCAGAGUAUUGAUGCUUGGGAGUCAGACAGUGUCAGAUAAAUGUCAUUGUCAAAAGGGAAACAGCCCAGAUCUACAGCUAAGGUCCCAAAGUCAGGUUAAGUGGAAAACGAUGUGAAGAUACGCAGACAACCAGGAUGUUGGCUCAGAAGCAGCCACUCAUUCAAAGAGUGCGUAAUAGCUCACUGGUCGAGCGUCUUUGCGCGGAGAAUUUAACGGGGCUAAACCUGACACCGAAGCUUAGGCAAUGUAGUAAUACAUUGGGUAGGGGAGCGUUGUAUACGCGGAGAAACAGUAGCGCAAGCGGCUGUGGAGUGUAUAGAAGUGAGAAUGCCGGAAUGAGUAGCGCGAAUGCAGUGAGAAUCUGCAUGGCCGAAAGCCUCAGGUUUCUGGAGGAAGGUUCGUCCGCUCCAGGUUAGUCGGGAGCUAAGGUGAGGCCGAAAGGCGUAGCCGAUGCACAGACGGUAGAGAUUCCGUCACCACCAAAAGAGUUAAGCACAGGGACACAUAUGAAGUCUCAGAGCCGGGUGUUGGUUCCGGUAGAGAUCGAGGGAAGUUAGUACCGAAGUCUGAGAUGGAAGAUGGCGAGAAAAGCUGUGUGUAUUUCUGAGGUGCCCGUACCGCAAACCGACACAGGUAGGUAGGAAGAAGAUUCUAAGGCCAACGGGAGAAGGGUUGUUAAGGAACUCGGCAAAUUGACCCCGUAACUUCGGGAGAAGGGGUGCUCCAGAGAUGGAGCCGCAGAGAAUCGGCCCAAGCAACUGUUUACCAAAAACACAGGUUUGUGCUAAAUCGAAAGAUGACGUAUACGAGCUGACGCCUGCCCGGUGCUGGAAGGUUAAGAGGAGAUGUGCAAGCAUUGAAUCGAAGCCCCAGUGAACGGCGGCCGUAACUAUAACGGUCCUAAGGUAGCGAAAUUCCUUGUCAGGUAAGUUCUGACCCGCAUGAAAGGCGUAAUGAUUUGGGCACUGUCUCAACAGCCCGCCCGGCGAAAUUGUAGUACCGGUGAAGAUGCCGGUUACCCGCGACAAGACGGAAAGACCCCAUGGAGCUUUACUGUAGCCUAAUAUUGGGUUUCGAUGUUGCAUGCACAGGAUAGAUGGGACUCUUGGAAACCAAGGCUUUGGCUUUGGCGGAGAGGCCGUUGGGAUACCAUCCUUGCGAUAUUGGAAUUCUAACCUGCGGCUCUGAAUCGAGUCGGGGGACAUUGUUAGGUGGGCAGUUUGACUGGGGCGGUCGCCUCCUAAAGAGUAACGGAGGCGUUCAAAGGUUCGCUCAGCUUGAACGGAAAUCAAGCAAAAGAGUGCAAACGCAGAAGCGAGCCUAACUGCGAGACUGACGGGUCGAGCAGUAACGAAAGUUGGAGUUAGUGAU
rnacentral:rRNA from 1 species